AUCAGAUAAAAAUCACGUCUACUACCAAUAUAACGGUUAUAUUGAAAACUGCUAAAAGUACUAUAAUUCACUGCGGCACAAGCAUUAAAUUUCACAAGAAGAAAGGUAUAGACAGGAAGAUAUGUACGUAAACUUGGAAUAAGACGAGAACCAAUUUUCAACAAAUUUGGUGUGUGAGUACACAAAUCAAGUUAUUUCAUCCUACGCGUAAAAGGUGUUAAAAUCAGACUAAAUACAUAUUUUCAAUGAUCAAAACACCAAAUAUGUAGACUCCUAUUCAUAUUGCCGAUCCUUUACUAAACAUAUGGUUAAUCUUUUUAUAUUUUUUAUGGUGAUGAGCCAACCCACCAUUUCCCGUUGUAUCGAAUAUAUUUGUAAAUUGGUGGUGGAGCGUAACACGGCGAAGUUCGUUUUUGUAAUUCUGUUGAAGAAUACAAUAGAAUUAAGACUCGAUUUUAUUCGAAAUUUGGAAUAAAAGGUGUAAUUGGAGCAAUUGAUUGCACUCAUGUUGGCAUAAUUGCACCUGCCUUGUCAAACACAGUUGUACCGCAUGAUUAUAUGAACAGAAAAGGUUUUUAUAGCAUUAAUGUUGAAGCGGUAAGUAUUAUAUUCAAUAACUAAUUAUUAACUAAUUUUUCCAAUAGGUUUGUGACGAUGAACUAAUUUUCCGACUCGUGAAUGCAAAAUUUCCCGGCUCAUGUCAUGACUCCGGUAUAUGGACUACUUCGCUAGCAAGGAUAAAGUUAAGUUCAAUAUUAGGCACAUAAAAGCAAGAAACACGAUUGAAAGAGCAUUUGGAGUUUUAAAAUCACGCUUUCGUUGCAUUUCAAGAGAACGUACAUUGCGGUAUAAACAAUCCAAAGCUGCAUUAUUUGUUUAUACUUGUACAAUAUUUUAGAAAACCAUGGCAUUUUUCUAAAUGAAACCGAAAUAUUGCCAGAUCGAUCACCUCCUGAAAAUGUGGGAGCAAUCUCUGAAAUCCAUUCGGGAUAGUAUUACACUCGAGGCAGAGCAGCACGUCAAAGGUGCAUUAACACAUUAAAUAAUUAAAAUUCUACAUAUACAUAUAUUUCAAUUCAAACUUCAUUUAUUUAUAAAAUAAAUAAACAUAACAAUAAAUAAUUGAUAUACAUAAAAAGGAA